GUCACUUUGCCGGAGUGGUUAACGGGAUCGCCUGCUAUGAUCCACAGCACAGAACAACAGGAUUGUACGAGAGCGGUUGGGCUUUGCCCGCGAGUGUUCGAAUCGCUCAGGUGACG